rnacentral:rRNA from 1 species
UACGUAGGGUGCAAGCGUUGUCCGGAAUUAUUGGGCGUAAAGAGCUCGUAGGCGGUCUGUCGCGUCUGCUGUGAAAACUCAGGGCUUAACCCUGAGCUUGCAGUGGGUACGGGCAGACUAGAGUGCGGCAGGGGAGACUGGAAUUCCUGGUGUAGCGGUGAAAUGCGCAGAUAUCAGGAGGAACACCGGUGGCGAAGGCGGGUCUCUGGGCCGAUACUGACGCUGAGGAGCGAAAGCAUGGGUAGCGAACAGG